UACAAGUGACCCUGGCCUCCGGGCCGGGAUGUUCAUAACCCUUUGUUGUCCGACUCUGUUGCCUCCGGGGCGACCCUGCCUUCGGGCGGGGGCCCCGGGUGGACAUAUCAAACUCUUGCGUAACUUUGCAGUCUGAGUAAAUUUAAUUAAUAAAUUAAAACUUUCAACAACGGAUCUCUUGGUUCUGGCAUCGAUGAAGAACGCAGCGAAAUGCGAUAAGUAAUGUGAAUUGCAGAAUUCAGUGAAUCAUCGAAUCUUUGAACGCACAUUGCGCCCCCUGGUAUUCCGGGGGGCAUGCCUGUUCGAGCGUCAUUUCACCACUCAAGCCUCGCUUGGUAUUGGGCGACGCGGUCCGCCGCGCGCCUCAAAUCGACCGGCUGGGUCUUCUGUCCCCUCAGCGUUGUGGAAACUAUUCGCUAAAGGGUGCCACGGGAGGCUACGCCGUAAAACAACCCCAUUUCUAAGGUUGACCUCGGAUCAGGUAGGGAUACCCGCUGAACUUAAGCAUAUCAAUAAGCGGAGGAAAAGAAACCAACAGGGAUUGCUCUAGUAACGGCGAGUGAAGCAGCAAUAGCUCAAAUUUGAAAUCUGGCGUCUUCGGCGUCCGAGUUGUAAUUUGUAGAGGAUGCUUCUGGGCAGCCACCGACCUAAGUUCCUUGGAACAGGACGUCAUAGAGGGUGAGAAUCCCGUAUGCGGUCGGAAAGGCACCCUACACGUAGCUCCUUCGACGAGUCGAGUUGUUUGGGAAUGCAGCUCUAAAUGGGAGGUAAAUUUCUUCUAA
rnacentral:rRNA from 1 species